rnacentral:tRNA from 1 species
AGGGGUGUGGGCUCAGUGGUAGAGUACUUGCCUAGAAUGCAUGAGGCCCCAGGUUCAAUCCCCAGCACCACAC